CUUUAGAAACCCUAGCUAUCUUCCUCCUUCCGCCGGCGUCGGCGGCGCUCUAUACCACCUCCCUCCACGGGGUCCGCAACACCUUCGAGACCUGCAGCGCCGUCCGUGCUUCGCUCCAGGCCCACGAUGUUGCCUUCAGGGAGCGCGACGUCUCCAUGGCCGGAACUUCAGGGAGGAGCUCCGGAAGCUGCUUGCGCUCGCCGCCUGCUCACUCCCCAGGCUGUUCCUGCAGGGCCGCCACGCCAGCGGCGCGGAGGAGGUGCUGCGCCUGGACGAGCAGGGCCUGCCGGCGCCGCUACUGGAGGGCCUGCGACCUUCUAGUAACGGGGGCUGCGACGACUUCUUCGCUCAGCGACGACUCUCCAUCCCGGUGGCAGCGGCGAGCUCCUAGAAAGGUCGAGCUCUGCAAGAUUUACCAAAUGUUGAUUUGAGCAAUGGAAACCUUGAGCUUGGUAGCUGGAACCCAGAUCUGGCAAGAUAGGAACUCAAUCUUGCCGAUGGGGUGGGUAUUUGUAGCACUCAAUUUGAUUAAUGCUGUAGAACUGAUUGAAUAAAGAUAAAUUGUUGCUUCAUGUUGGAUCACAUUAAA